rnacentral:rRNA from 1 species
UACAGAGGUCCCAAGCGUUGUUCGGAUUCAUUGGGCGUAAAGGGUGCGUAGGCGGCGCGGUAAGUCGGGUGUGAAAUCUCGGAGCUUAACUCCGAAACUGCAUUCGAUACUGCCGUGCUUGAGGACUGGAGAGGAGACUGGAAUUUACGGUGUAGCGGUGAAAUGCGCAGAUAUCAGGAGGAACACCGGUGGCGAAGGCGGAUCUCUGGGCCUUGCCUGACGCUGAGGCGCGAAAGCUAGGGGAGCGAACAGG